rnacentral:precursor_RNA from 1 species
ACCGUCUGCCCAGCCAUCCGGAUGGUGCGGUACACGCAAGAGCUUGCCGAAAUGGUUUUUGGCAACGAGACGUUGGGACGCUGUUGCCUGAGGGGG